rnacentral:rRNA from 1 species
CGCAUGGAUAAUAAUCGGGCAUAAGUCCGUUGCCGAAGCCGUGGAAUCCGACGAUAGUCGGAUUGGUAGGGGAGCAUUCCGGCAGCCGCAGAAGGUGAGGCGCGAGCCUUGCUGGAGGAACCGGAAAAGCAAAUGUAGGAUAAGUAACGAUAAGGAGGGCGAGAAACCCUCCCGCCGAAGACCAAGGGUUCCUGAUCAACGCUAAUCGGAUCAGGGUAAGUCGGGGCCUAAGGAGGAGCCGCAAGGCGCAUCCGAUGGACAAACGGUCAAGAUUCCGUUACCCGGACAGGUAACGAUGCGGAGACGGAGAAGUGACACUUCCGCGCACUGACGGAAUAGUGCGUUGAAGCGCGUAGGUGUUGAGAGGUGCAGUAAAGUACACACCUUGAGCUGAAACGCGACAGUACGGCAAUCCCCCCGGGGAGCGCCGAUAGCGAAGGUAACCAGGCUCCCAAGAAAAACCGCUAAGUAUAUACCGGUCCGGCCCGUACCGCAAACCGACACAGGUGGUCGGGUAGAAGAUACCAAGGCGCUCGAGAGAUUCACGGUUAAGGAACUAGGCAAAUUGACCCCGUAACUUCGGAAUAAGGGGUCCCGUCCUCCGGGACGGGCGCAGAGAAUAGGUCCAGGCAACUGUUUAACAAAAACACAGGGCUGUGCAAAGUUUAAAGACGACGUAUACAGCCUGACACCUGCCCGGUGCCGGAAGGUUAAGAGGAGACGUCAUCGCAAGAGAAGCGUUGAAUUGAAGCCCCGGUAAACGGCGGCCGUAACUAUAACGGUCCUAAGGUAGCGAAAUUCCUUGUCGGGUAAGUUCCGACCUGCACGAAUGGUGUAAUGAUCCGGACACUGUCUCAACCGUGAGCUCGGUGAAAUUGUAGUAUCGGUGAAGAUGCCGAUUACCCGCAACGGGACGAAAAGACCCCGUGAACCUUUACUACAGCUUAGCACUGUGACCGGGUGCGAGAUGUGUAGGAUAGUCAGGAGACUAUGAAGCAGGAACGCCAGUUUCUGUGGAGUCGACGUUGAAAUACUGACCUUCUCGCAUUUGGUUUCUAACUCCUAGAAGGAGGACACUGCUUGGCGGGUAGUUUGACUGGGGGUGGUCGCCUCCAAAAGAGUAACGGAGGCUUCUAAAGGUGCGCUCAGGCCGAUUGGUAACCGGGCCGCAGAGUGUAAUGUCACAAGCGCGCUUGACUGGGAGGCCGACAGCCGAUCAGUAGGAAACUAGAGCAUAGUGAUCCGG